rnacentral:rRNA from 1 species
ACUCGAGUGGCGAACGGGUGAGUAACACGUGGGUAAUCUGCCCUGCACUCUGGGAUAAGCCUGGGAAACUGGGUCUAAUACUGGAUAUGACCUUCCUCCUUAUGGGGUUUGGUGGAAAGUUUUUCGGUGUAGGAUGAGCCCGCGGCCUAUCAGCUUGUUGGUGGGGUGAUGGCCUACCAAGGCGACGACGGGUAGCCGGCCUGAGAGGGUGAUCGGCCACAUUGGGACUGAGAUACGGCCCAG